rnacentral:rRNA from 1 species
UACGUAGGGUGCAAGCGUUGUCCGGAAUUAUUGGGCGUAAAGAGCUCGUAGGCGGUCUGUCGCGUCUGCUGUGAAAACUCAGGGCUUAACCCUGAGCUUGCAGUGGGUACGGGCAGACUAGAGUGCGGUAGGGGAGACUGGAAUUCCUGGUGUAGCGGUGAAAUGCGCAGAUAUCAGGAGGAACACCGGUGGCGAAGGCGGGGUCUCUGGGCCGUAACUGACGCUGAGGAGCGAAAGCAUGGGGAGCGAACAGG